rnacentral:rRNA from 1 species
UACGGAGGGUGCAAGCGUUGUUCGGAUUUACUGGGCGUAAAGCGCGCGCAGGUGGGGUGAACAAGUCGGAAGUGAAAUCUUGAGGCUCAACCUCGAGGCUGCUCCCGAAACUGUUCGCCUAGGGACUGGUAGAGGCUGGUAGAAUUCCCGGUGUAGCGGUGGGAAUGCGUAGAGAUCGGGAAGAAUACCUGUGGCGAAGGCGGCCAGCUGGGCCAGAUCCGACACUGAGGCGCGAAAGCGUGGGGAGCAAACAGG